AGAGACAGCAGCCGCCACGGGAAAACGAAGGGUGCAAGCGUUAAUCGGAAUUACUGGGCGUAAAGCGCGCGUAGGUGGUUCAUUAAGUUGGAUGUGAAAGCCCUGGGCUCAACCUGGGAACUGCAUCCAAAACUGGUGAGCUAGAGUACGGUAGAGGGUAGUGGAAUUUCCUGUGUAGCGGUGAAAUGCGUAGAUAUAGGAAGGAACACCAGUGGCGAAGGCGACUACCUGGACUGAUACUGACACUGAGGUGCGAAAGCGUGGGGAGCAAACAGGAUUAGAUACCCCCGUAGUCCCUGUCUCUUAUAC
rnacentral:rRNA from 1 species